rnacentral:rRNA from 1 species
GACGAACGCUGGCGGCGUGCUUAACACAUGCAAGUCGAACGAAGUGGAGAACGGGGGAGUAACGUGUAAUCAACCUGCCCUUCAGAGGGGGACAACAGUUGGAAACGACUGCUAAUACCGCAUACUGAAGGAGGGGAUUGCGUCUGAUUAGUGAGUUGGAGGGGUAACGGCCAACCACGGCGAUGAUCAGUAGCCGGUCUGAGAGGAGGAACGGCCAAAAUGGGACUGAGACACGGCCCAGACUCCUACGGGAGGCAGCAGUGGGGAAUCUUCCGAAAUGGACGAAAGUCUGACGGAGCAACGCCGCGUGAGUGAUGAAGGCCUUCGGGUUGUAAAGCUCUGUUAAUCGGGACGCGGUACCGGAAUAGAAAGCCACGGCUAACUACGUGCCAGCAGCCGCGGUAAUUC